GACGAACGCUGGCGGCGUGCCUAACACAUGCAAGUCGAACGGAGCUUGUUUAGAUUGAGACUUCGGUCAAUUUCUAUUUAAGCUUAGUGGCGGACGGGUGAGUAACGCGUGAGUAACCUGCCGUUCAGAGGGGGACAACAGUUGGAAACGACUGCUAAUACCGCAUAACGUAUCAUGUUGGCAUCAACGAGAUACCAAAGGAGCAAUCCGCUGAGAGAUGAGCUCGCGUCUGAUUAGAUAGUUGGUGAGGUAACGGCUCACCAAGUCGACGAUCAGUAGCCGGACUGAGAGGUUGAACGGCCACAUUGGGACUGAGACACGGCCCAGACUCCUACGGGAGGCAGCAGUGGGGAAGUAUUGCACAAUGGGCGCAAGCCUGAUGCAGCAACGCCGCCGUGAGGGAUGACGGUCUUCGGAUUGUAAACCUCUGUCCUUGGUGACGAAACAAAUGACGGUAGCCAUGGAGGAAGCCACGGCUAAC
rnacentral:rRNA from 1 species